rnacentral:tRNA from 1 species
GAGGAUAUAGCUCAGUGGCAGAGUGCAUGCUUAGCAAGCAUGAGGUCCUGGGUUCAAUCCCCAGAACCUCU